GCACUUGUUCCAGUGCUCUGUCACCCUCACAGCAAAGAAAUGUUUUCUCAUACUCAGCUGGAACUUCCUGUGUUUCAGUUUGUGUCCUUUGCCUCUUGUCCUGUUGCUGGGCACCACUGAAAAUAGUCUGGGCCCAGCUUCUUUAUACCCUACCUUUAGAUAUUUAACAGAGAAGACACACAAAGAAGCUAAUAGGAUUCAGUUGUGAGACAAAAAGAAAAAAAUGAAAAAGAAAAAAAAAAAAAGACAGCCAUUCAUUCUGCUGCUUAUAAAUGGUUUCUUUUCAUUUCCCCUUAUAAAAAAAAACUCACUUCAUUUUUUAUUGUCUUCCCCAGCUCCUUGUGAAACUCACAGACACAGUAAUCGUUCCUUGUUUCCUCCUGUCAAACAGAAGGUGACAUACUGAACAGUUGAGGGAUUUUGUUCAUAAUAAGCUGCAAUGUCUGAAAUAGGAGAAAAAGACUCAAUUUUAAAGUAGUCUGGAGAGUAAGAGGACAGUUUUCUGUCUCAGAGAAACCAGGUCUUAAUUUGUGUUAAAGUAGAAGCUUUUUUGUUAGGACUAUGAAAUAAAUUGUACCACACGUGGUUUCUGAUUUUCAGUAUUAACAGUUGCUGUGGGAUCUAAUCUACUUUCUAUUGUCCCAACCUAAAAUGAUUAGUGAUAUAUCAUUAGCUAAGACUUUUUUUUUUUUUUUUUUUUUUUUUUUGAUAUUGAAAAACCCAUCCUCAAUGAAUACAACCCUUUUUCAAUGAACUCAGUCUCAAUAGCACCCUGGUUCAGGCUGCCUGCACCUUGUGCCACUCUAAAACCAAUUACAAAGCUGUCAUCAGGAGACAGGCUGUGAAACAAAUCUACACGUGUGCUGGUAAUUUUCUGCACCUUGAUACAUCUUGUAGCACUGACUGCUUCAAAAACUCCCAUGCCUGACCUGAAAAGGCAAUUUUGCUUAUUGUUCACUUGUCUUCAAGUUUUAAACUGCUCAACACAGUAGUAACAACUUAAAUGAAAUUAUAAUAAUAUACAGAAAAUAAUAUUCCAUUGAAUAGCUUAGUUAUAAUAUGUUUUUGAACUGCAUUAUGGAUAUUUUGAGGCAUUUUUUUUUUCUCAAUUUGAGCAUGAAAGGUGAAAAAUCACUAAACUUGAAGUAACCUUGUGUGAAUGGCAGAUGAGAUGCAAGUUAAACUUGUUGCAAUAAAUAAAUAUACACUUUAGGUUCUAUAAUUUUCCAUUGCAUUAAUUUGCCUGAAUAUAUUUAGAUCAGUAAUUUAGACUGGAAAUUAAGGCUGUUUAUGGCAACUGCUGUAUGUCGAUGGAAAUGUCGUUUGAUGUGCUAUAUUUUAAAACCAUGUCAUUGACUUUUGAAAAGUGCUUCAAAGUUAAAUACACAAAAUUACUUUGACAAAACACUAUUUUACCAUACAAUUAAAACAUAAAAGAUUAAAAGCUAAAGGUCUUGCAUAUUUUAUGCAUAAUAUUUAAUUUUUCUAAGAGCUGUUUAACUGACCUGGAAUUACUUCUAUGGAAAGACAUUGUCUGCUGUAGUCAGACUAUCUUAUACAAAUCUUCCUCUCUUUAGUUUUUAAUUCUGCAUUUAUUAAUGUAUGUACUAACUUAAUGUUUGGCUUUUUAAUUUUUCAGAGCCUAGUUGAACUGUCAUUUGAUGAUGGAAUAAAAGCGGAAAUCUCAGGAAAGUCAACAGUGUUUCUUUCCUAGAACAUGAUGAAACUGCAGGUUUUCCUUCAUAGUAUUCAUAGGCAACUGAUGAAUGAGAGCAUCCUUUGCCUGUGUGCCUGUAGUUGGCUGUCCUUCGUUCUCCCAACUAGCUGCCCAGUUUUUGGGGUGCUUGGAUGAAAAUGAAAACCUGGAUGACUAUGUGAAUACUUACUGAAUCCACCUCUCCUCUUUCUAAUUGAAAAUCAUGCAUGGCAAAGUCCCUGUCUGACUGGCAACAUUUUGAGAAGCAGACACUGACUCUGCGUGUCCCUGUUGUUGAUUGUCUAUUCUGAUAUGCUUUACACUGUGCAAUGACAAUAAGUAAGUAAACAGGCAUGACUGGUAACUUGCUUGUGGAUCCAUAAGCUGCAAUUGCAUGACCGUUGCACUGUUUGUAGACAGUGCCUUUCAACAUUUCAAUCCAGUUCAAGCUUAACAGAGAUAUUCCUCAUCCUAAAUGUUUCAUCAUUUUUUAUUUUUUUUUUGACAGUGAGAAGUGAGAACUCUUUUUCCCCUCUUUUUACAUUUAAAGGCACUUGAAAAUGAGUUGAGCCUGUUUAAAAUAUAGCUUGUUUGUAAUAAAAUGGAGAUCCUACAGUAAUUCUUUGAAAAUCUUUAGGAAUUAAAGGCCUUUGAACAGAUUAAACUGUCAGAUUCUGUCCACUGUGCUUAAAAGCACCCAUAUUAUACAGUUCCUUCCUUGAACUGCAUUUUAAAAGCUUCCUUAAGCCAUGAUAUUCCAGUGGAAAGAUUGUUCCAAAACUUCAGUUUGGUUUAGGUCUUCCUUCCAGUCCUUAGAUGUGUGUCUACAUCUUCUUUCUAAUUUCAAGGGUGUGAGCAAGUACUACUCACUUGUUUCUGUGUCAGUUUGUUUUGUGGCUUGGUAUUUCUUUUCCCUUCCUGUUGUUUAUCCCUGAGUCAUAUCCUUUGGUCUAAUUACCAAACCAAUUUUUUCUGAUAUGAUAAACUGGGCUUCUCUCAUCAUCCAGGCACUCUGCAGACACACAUCCAUCUGGUGGUGCUGGGGACCCAGUACCCAUCCAUUCAGGAGGUUUUCAUUUGGAUUUAAUUUAGUCUUUUUCUAUGAACUGAAUGCCCAUGAGCAGUCAGUGCACUCUAAAUGUGCCUCUGGAGCUCAUUUUCCAGUUUAGACUUUCCUGAAAUGAAUCUGGCAUGUAUGCUCUGUGACCAGUGUAUGGUGUGAAUCAAGGCAUCAUGAGCAGUGAGUGAUUCACCUAAAAAGCACCCUCCUUAUCUGGACUAAAAUGCUUCUAUGGACAAACCCUGAUAAACUCCACACUUCCUCGCUUCCUUGAGGAACUGGGAUUUAUUCCAAUGUCCUUUUCCAAAAUUCUUUUCAUUCUUUUUAUACCAAGUGUCAUGCAGGACAAUUGGUUGAUGUCCUCCAUUGUUGUCCAUUAAAAUAAACAAUACAAUUUUUUAAGAAAGCUAAAACAGAGAGUACUGUAGUCAAUUAACAGAUAUGCUACUUCUUUCUAUUCCAAAUGUCUUGGUAUGAUUUUUUUUCCCUGUAGGAUAAGACAAUUAAAAGAAAAUAUAUUUUUAUUAUGAAAUAAUUUUAAAAUGCAAGUACUAAAAAUAGUGAUCAUUUAUACACUUCAAAAAAAUGUGCCUCUGUUUUGUUUUAAUGGCUUCUUUGUAUAUAUAUAUAUAUUUUGGCUAUUCCAAAAUGGCAUGAUUUUACUAGGAUCUAAAUGUGUUGAAAGGCACAUUAACCAAGAGAGGGGAAAAAAAGGAGCUAUAUAUAGUUUUACUGUCCCUUUAGGGAACCAUUGCUUGAGCUUCAUUAAUAUGCAUUUUAGCACAAUCUAAUUUACUCAUAUGGCUGGCCCCAGGUGUUUGGAAAGGCAACCAGAGGAAAAUCAGAUCAUACUAAAAUUAGAGACAAGAAAUAUUGAAUGCCUUCCCUUUUAGGUCCUUGAAAGGCACAUAUUAAUUAUAACUGGAUGAAUUUAUGAAAACUAAUACUAUGAACAGCUCCAAUAGUAAUUAUUUUUGAAAAAUGAUAUCUACCAAUAUGUGUAUUCAGAUCAAAGUGCAGAGAAAAUGCUCUGUUAAAGAAAAUAUAUAUAUACUGCCCCCUCAAAACAUUAAAUAUUAAGUGCAGUGCCCCCAUGUCACUCUUUUGAUGUAGAUUUAUUCACUGAAAACCACAACACAGAGCCUCAUAUCUUAUGUGCUGUCUCUUGCACAGCUUUCAACAGGACAGAGCAUUAGAUCUUGAUGGAUUUGCCCAGUCUUCCUAAGGAAUGUAUCUCUGCUGGGUUGCAGAAAAACAAGGCCAGUGACACUGGUAAGCAAAAAGCCACUAGGUGUGGGGAAAAAAGGGUAAAAAAAUGUGCUCCGCGCUGUCACUGUGUCAAUAGGAGGGUUUGGCAAGCAAGCGUUCACAGCUGGUCUCUGAACUGCUAACAGGAUGUAGUGGUGCGAUAAAGGGGCUUUAUAUAUUAAUUUCCUAAGUGUCUUCUUGAUUUGCAGCAGGAAGCAUAAGCAAAACAAUGUCAAACAAAUUAGCCCUGAAGGUGCCUUUGGAGCAGCGCUCAGCGAUCUGCCCUUGCCCGGGCACUCUGAACUCUUCAACCGGGGAGGUGCUUGCCCAGGGAAAAGACUAUUUCAGAAUACAUCUUUAGGGCUGAAACAGCCUGAAUUGCAGCAGUGGCAAGAAACUGAAGACUGCAUAUGCUAUGGAAACACUUAGUCAUCUCCAGUGAGAUUCUAAUUUGAAAUAUCUGACCUUCCUAGGCUUCAAAAAUAGUGAGACUUUGGCACAGGAAAGGUAACAACCCAUGUAGUAGGACAGGGGCUUGUAUUGCCUGGGCUUGGAUAAAUUCUUGGGUCUUUCCAGGCUUCGUGAAGACUGUACAAAAGAACCAGGAGGGUAUCUCCCACUCAAGAGCUCGAAAUAAUUUUAGUCUUACCAGAAAUUUAGUGAGAAAUCUUGCUAUUUCAGCUUGGAGCCAAAUCUACUUCUUCCUAAAGAAGCCAAGUUAAUUCUGCUUCAGAAGGGUUUAAUUUCAGAAGAAACCACACUGAAGCAUACUCACAUGCAAAUCAUCUGAUGUUUGUCAGAUAUACUCUUCAUUAUACCUCAGUGAAGCACCACAGACAAACAUUACUUUGAUGUGAUAAGGAGGGUGAUAUUAAAGGUGAAUACUAGAGUGUGCUAUUAAGAUGGAGUUUUAAAAAUGUACUUACUGAAAGGAAUAAAGUCUCCACAGUGGGUGCCAUUUAAGAAUAGUCCAUCUAAAGAAUAUUCUCCUAAAGCAAAACAUCAAAGAGAGGAUAGAAAACAUGUUUUAGGCCAGGAUUCUUGAAAGAAAUCAAAGACAUACGAAUUUCAUUAAAUCGCCAAGGAGUUUAGGAGAAGUGGAUUCAAAAUCUACAUGAAAAAUAUUGCAUCAAGUGAAGAUGGAAAAUAAAAUAUCCAGCAAUCUGAGAAAAGAAAACAAUCUGAGAAAAAAAAUGGAAAUAGAAUAAUUCAGAAAUACACGUACCUUAGAUAAAGUUACACUGGUAGAUGGAAAAACAUAUGGGAAGCAGAUUUUGAUUGGACCAUAAAACAAAAUAAAACAAAUAAAACAAAACAAAACAAAAUACACAAGCAAAGACCGUUUCCAGAACCAACCUGUACAUAAAUAUGAUCCUUCAACCUUGACAAACUGAUUAUGAAAGCUUCUAAAAAAAAAAAAGAUGGUUGAAGCCUUCUUCUCUAUAUACUCAUUGUAUCUUCCAGACUGAAACAACGAGCAAUUCAUAGGAAUGAAAAUAUUGCCUUUAAUCAUUUAACUACCUGUUAGCAAAAGUACAUGCUUUUGCAAUAUGGCAGUAAAUCCUCCUCCUCUGAGUGUCUCAAUAACAUUGCCACAUGGGCAGGAAUGACCAUGGACCUUAAUGAGAAGAUGUUUUGCUCUGCCCUGGCAGUCCAGAAACCAUUGUGACCAUGUGUGCAGGAGCAGCUGAGGCUCAUGGAGAAUCAGCAGCAAAAACGAUCAGAGGCAACAAAACAAGUGCCUCAUAAACAUUUUUCAACUCAUGGGCUUCCAGCAAGCAGUAACUUGAGCAGCUGCAUUGUAACAUGGUCUCCACUGUAUCUCCUGUUCAGUUCAUCCCUUUAUCAUUUAAAUUACUUUCUUUAUAUCACAGGUUUGAAUGCUUAUUUUUCUGUUCUUUGAGUCAGAACUUCAUUUCACCUUGGUUGAAAGUGGGGAGUAUUUUGUACUGCCAGUGCUCUAGCUAAUGCUCCUGCAAGGCUCCUCAGAGGUAUGGGGGGACCCCAUGGAGAGAGGAAGAGCCAAGCUGCUGCUUCCUGGCUAAGCUGUUCAGGCUCCUUCUGUGCCUUUCUGUUAAACAGUGCCAGUUAAGGUGCUGUGAAUGCUGUACAAAAAUACAUGAGCAAUGUUAAUUAUAUCUAUUCCACAUGACAUUUUGAUGAAUGAAAUCAUAGAAAAGCAAGGGUAUCAUCCAAAUGAUAUUCUAUGUGUCUUCAUUACAGUUAGUUAUACAGUGCCACUGAUAAAUGUGUUUCUGUACAUAAAAUUAGAUCCACUAAUAAGUAGUUUUACCCAAGAGUGUGUCAGCAGCUAAUGGGUCAGGGACUUGUGUACAUAAAAACCCCGAUGAAUUGGACUGUGGAUCUAUGCUUAUGCUGGACAGUUAAGUGUGUGUAAUCCUGAUACUGUAGUUUAGCUAAGGAUGUAAUCAAAGCAUGCUGUGAUUAAAAAUAGGGAUAUUUAAGGAAGUCAUGAUAUGAACAGUACAGAGGGAGAGUUUCAAUUCAUUCAGACAGCUACAUUCAGAGACAACUUAAGAAAGGAGCUGCCUCUGAAACAGGGUAGAAGAGCAGACUGGGAAGAUAAGGUAAAACAGAUAGGAUUUGAAUAUUUGUAUUAUUCAAAUGUGGAAAAGAGAUUGUGCCUGAAUUAUACCAUAUUUAAACCUGAGUUUUUCAGGUUUAAAUUGUUGUGCAGGCUUGGGUAAGACAUUAUCUGUUUAUAAUUAACUGUGUUUCUUGGCAUACGUAACUGCACAAUUUCACUGCAGAGCUGGGAAAAGAAAAUGUGUUGAGUUCUUGACCUUACUGACCCUGAGGAACCUAUGCAAAUUUAUGCCCAUAAAUAAACUGUGCAAUUGUUAUUAUUA